rnacentral:rRNA from 1 species
AGUGAACGCUGGCGGUAGGCCUAACACAUGCGAGUCGAACGGCAGCACAGUAAGAGCUUGCUCUUACGGGUGGCGAGUGGCGGACGGGUGAGGAAUACAUCGGAAUCUACUUUUUCGUGGGGGAUAACGUAGGGAAACUUACGCUAAUACCGCAUACGACCUACGGGUGAAAGCAGGGGAUCUUCGGACCUUGCGCGAUUGAAUGAGCCGAUGUCGGAUUAGCUAGUUGGCGGGGUAAAGGCCCACCAAGGCGACGAUCCGUAGCUGGUCUGAGAGGAUGAUCAGCCACACUGGAACUGAGACACGGUCCAGACUCCUACGGGAGGCAGCAGUGGGGAAUAUUGGACAAUGGACGCAAGCCUGAUCCAGCCAUACCGCGUGGGUGAAGAAGGCCUUCGGGUUGUAAAGCCCUUUUGUUGGGAAAGAAAAGCAGCAGGUUAAUACCCCGCUGUUCUGACGGUACCCAAAGAAUAAGCACCGGCUAACUUCGUG